rnacentral:rRNA from 1 species
UACAGAGGGGGCAAGCGUUGUUCGGAAUUACUGGGCGUAAAGCGUGCGUAGACGGUUAUGUAAGUCGGGUGUGAAAGCCCCGGGCUCAACCUGGGAAUUGCAUUCGAGACUGCAUAGCUAGGGUGCGGAAGAGGGAAGCGGAAUUUCCGGUGUAGCGGUGAAAUGCGUAGAUAUCGGAAGGAACACCAGUGGCGAAAGCGGCUUCCUGGUCCAGCGCCGACGUUCAGGCACGAAAGCGUGGGGAGCAAACAGG